GUCAGGGAUCUAAUAUCAUGUAGUUCCAGGGAUUUCAGAAGGUCUGGUCAGUCCAUUGUUCUUGCCAUGUGUUACUCUUUCUCAUUACUGUGAUCAUCAGUGCUCUUGACAUCGGUUACUUUUUCUCAUUACUAUGAUCGUCAGUGCUCUUGACAUCGGUUACUUUUUCUCAUUACUGUGAUUGUUUAUGCUCUUGACAUCGGUUGUUCUUGCUUUAUGGUUGCCUUCCCAGUGCACUUUUAUUAGUUCUAACAUAUUAAUGUUAAUAUGCUUGAUUGACCAUAUUAUAUAUUUCACUUCACCGGGGUGGUUGGUGGAAGUGGUAGUUAAAAUAUUUUGCUUAAAAC
rnacentral:lncRNA from 1 species